rnacentral:rRNA from 1 species
AAGAGACAGCAGCAGCCGCGGUAAUACAUAGGGGGCGAGCGUUAUCCGGAAUUAUUGGGUGUAAAGGGUGCGUAGGCGGAAGAUUAAGUUUUAGGUAUAAAUGUGCUGCUCAACGGCGUAUUGCUUAAAAAACUGGUCAACUAGAGUGAGGCAGAGGCAAGUGGAAUUCCAUGUGUAGUGGUAAAAUGCGUAAAUAUAUGGAGGAACACCAGUGGCGAAGGCGGCUUGCUGGGCCUAAACUGACGCUCAUGCACGAAAGCGUGGGGAGCAAACAGGAUUAGAUACCCCAGUAGUCCCUGUCUCUUAUACA